GUUGUGUGUUUUCCUAAGUUCUAUCCUAUCAACUCCCCUCAAUUCAUUACAGGGCACAAAAAUGAUCGUGUGGCUGCACCUGGUGUCCCUACUAGCUUUCCUCAGAGAUGUCAAGUCUCAGGUUCAGUUGAUGGAGUCUGGAGGAGAUGUGAAAAGACCUGGAGAGUCCCUCCGUCUCUCCUGCCAAGCCUCUGGAUUCACCUUCAGUGGCUCCUGGAUGCACUGGUUGAGACAGGCUCCAGGGAAAGGACUGGAAUGGGUGGCCUCCAUUUAUUCCAAUGCUUACUACUCAGACAAAGUGAAGGGACGCUUCACCAUCUCCAGGGACAAUGCCAAAAGCCAGCUGCAUCUGCAAAUGAGUAAUCUGAAACCAGAAGAUACAGCAGUCUAUUACUGUGCAGGAAACACAGUGAGAGGAAACUUUUAG